AAGGAAGUGAUCUAUUAAUAUUCAUACAAAUGUAGAACAGAAACCAAUAUGAAGUAAUUAAGAAAAUCAGACUAAAAUGGGAUGUAUUUUUCCUCAACCGGCAGGAAAAGACCUCAAUUUAUCCGUUAAAAGAGAUCAGCCAAAAGGAAAGGGAGUAACCGCAGGAUCAGAAUCUAGGACACCAGCUUCACCCGAGCCAAAUCCUGGCCCUACAGUAGUGUCACCGACAACAAAUCCCGCUCCCUUCUCGAUGACUGUGACCUCAGACACAACACAGCCCCUCCCGCCCCCUAAUUUACGGAAAUGAAAUCAUUGGACUUAUUUCUUCUACAGUGUAUCCAGAUACAAUACAACUGAAAGUGUCUCCUGUCAAUUUAUUAAUGGCAAAUAUGAAAAACAUAAUUUUCUACAACUCCAAAUAUAACAAAAUGAAUGUGUCUCAAAGUUUGAAAUAAAAUUAAGGAAGAACAAAACAUUAACUCAAGAUACAGCACUAUGAAAAUGGUUCCCGCUCUUCUUUUACUGAAAAGUUGGGGAAGCUUUAUAUAAAACAUAAAAUGUUUCCAUAUACGAUACAACGAAUGUCUUCAUAAUGGAAAUGACGUGUUUUUCUUCAAUAUUUACUCCCGAUAAUCAAAAUGAAGAUGUCCUCCUACUUUACGGAAAAUGUUAUGGAACCCUUCUCUACAACAGUGAUUCCAAAUACUUGUACACAGUAACUAACGGAAACAAAUAUGGAAUCCUCUCCCUAUGACAAUGACUCAAGAUACACUAUGAAAGUGUUUCCCGUCUCCUUAUUUACGGGGAAAAUAACGGAUAUUUUUCUCUAUAACAGUGACUUCAGAUACAACACAAAGUUAUCGUUGUCAAUAAUGCAUGCUACCUGACAGGGUACACAUUCAUAAAGGAAAAUUGGACAAUUAAUUUUAAACCACCAUGUUAUAACUGUAUAUCAAAAAAGGAUUAGGGUUUGAUCGGACGUCACUUGAUCACUGUUUUAUAGAUAUGUGCAUAUCUUAUUUUUAACAUUUUCCAGCAUUAUUUAUGUUUUUGAACACUACAUGAACUGCAUAGUGUAUUGCUUGAUUAACAGCACAUAAGAAAUUCAAACUUAUUCGUUAACGGAAGGAAUAUGGCUUAAAGAACUUACACUUGAAUUUACUAUAAUUCUGGCAACAAGCCAAAAUUGAUAUUCCUUCUCCACCGUAUUCCUAUUGCAUGAUACACAUAUUUACCGAUUUUAUUUCAUAAGGGGCGCACAUUUUCCCUCAUAUACACCCUUUGAAGGCACACCAUAACUACCAUCUCAUUGGAAAGUUUUGACCAUCUACAAGUCCUUACAGUUAUAUCUAUUGAGUUGUAAAAUGGAUGGUGUACGCCUCUCUCUUAAGAGAUUUGAGCCAUGGCAAUGAAGUUAUAUUGGCCUCUGGUAUUGGACACCUCGGUACUGGUUACUAACCAUGCAGGAAUCUACCUGACAGUGGUUUAUAUUAGUCUAUGUAUGGCUCGUAAUUUUGUGGAAAUAAAUCUGUCCUUAAACUGAGGAGGAAACAAUCUACCAUGGGCAUUUUGUUGGACAUUCCACCUUUUAUAGCUAUUUGUUGUGAACGAUAUAAUGAUAAAAAUACGGAUUUUAUGGACUAUUAAAUUAAGCAAGGUUUCAAAAUAAAUCAUGUUUCCAAGAAAAUAACACAUAUUAUGCAAGUCAAUAUCGACUUGUUUCAGAGACCCACACAUCUAAUGCGCACCGAAGAGACCUCAGGUUGGGUGCUCAGAGCCUGUUCCCUCUGGCGAUAACUUAAUACGAAAAGCGAAACGGUACACUCAAACUGGUGCUUCAGUUCAAGACGAGACAAAUAAAAAAAACUUAUGCACGCAUGAAGCAAAAAAGAUUAAAUGAUGAAUUCUACUGGUAUUCUAGUAACACAAAUUAUUCAAACCACCUUACCUCUGUCUAUUUCAGGCAUGUCACUGGCACCAAACUUA